rnacentral:lncRNA from 10 species
UUUGGACUCACUCUGAUGUGACUAAAUGUAUGACCUUGAAUAAGUUAGUUAACUUCCUUGAUACUUAGUUUCUUCAUCGUUAAAAUGGAAAUAAGCCUACUCAAAGUUCUAGGAUUGCUUAAGAGAUUGAAUGUAAUCAGCCUUGUACACAAUAGUCAUUCAACAAAUACCUUGAUCAUUUCCUUGAGGGCCUUGGCUGUAGAAGGCACAGCCAAUCAACCAUCCAUCCUCUCCUCAACCUUCCAGAAGACUGUGAGUCCUGAGAGCAUAGAAACUCUCCUGAUGUUGCUCCCAGACCGUGACCCGUGCUGGCAAAGCUUCUAUUCCCAUGUGGCUGCAUGUUUCAUAAGGAGAGCUACUAAAAUGCAGGAAAGCACAAAGUCUUAAUUGCUUGCUAGUGGGCACUCAGCCAACACGCUGUUAGCAGAAUGAAAUCCAAUCUUAGAGAAAAAGUGCUGAACCUCGGCUCUGGAUCGCCCAAGCCCCAUAUGGAUUGCGUGUGUUUUGGGGGAAGAUUUGGAUAUGGCAGUCUUUUUUUUCACUCUUUUGAAUGGGAAUGUCAAUCUAUGGGUUACUAGAACAUUUUAUUCUUAAUAUAAUAAUCCCAGCUGCAAAACAACAUUAAGAGGGAACACUGCACCUCUUCUCCCCACUUAUGACCUGGACAAUUAAUACAUUCUCAUUUUUUGUGCUUCUCUGAAAAUACUACUUUCAAUGCAAUUUCCAACCAAAUUGUUACUUUGAAGAAUUCAUACAUAGUCAUUCUGAAACAUCCCUGCCUUGUUCUGUUGUUUGCUAUUUGAUCUUUGAUAAUUAAUCUCCCUAAAUCUCAGUUGACUUAUCUUUAUAAUGGGAAAAAUAAAAAUGCUUUCCUGACAGGGAUGCUGUGAAGACUCAAUGAGAUUCAAAGCUCUUGGCAGUGUGUGGCACAAACAAUAAUGUCCAAUAUAUGUUAACUCCUAAUUUUAUUGCUAAAAAUAAUAGUCUAAUAGAUUUCUCACUGUGAGAAAUCUCAAUAUAUAGCAUAAAAUAUUUGGCCCCAUACGUUUUGGUGUUUGGGGCUUUGACAGGUUUUCUUUGAUCUGUCACAUGAUAUAUUUCUAUAUUUCACAUGACAUAUUUGAUAUAUUUCUAUAGUAUCCAUUUUUUCUAAAAUGAUUAAAAACCUCUCUUCACAUAAACAUUACAUGAGACAAAAAAACAAACAAGUAAUAUGUAGAGAAAUAUUGGACACUACACUUCUUCUGUAAAUUUUAAUAUGAAUGCCAUGCUCCAAAACAUAAGCUCUGGAUCUCUGUCUAAAUCCUAAAAUGCUGAAAAUCUCCCAUCAGAGUUAGAUGAUGAUGACAGGGUUGAACAUGAAUUUUAUUUGAUCCAAAGUACUUCAGAGAAUGUGACAUUAGACUAAUUACUGAAAUUUAAGGGUGUUAGGAUAAGAUUGCAAGCUACUUUUUUUUUUUUUUUUUUUUAACUUAUCUGAGACAGGGUCUGGCUCUGUCACCCAGUCUGGAGUACAGUGGAAGGAUCAUGACUCACUGAAGCCUGGACAUCUUGGACUCAAAGGAAUCCUCCCAUCUCAGCCUACCAAGUAGCUGGAAUCACAGGCAUGCACCACCAAGCCUGGCUAAUUUUUUGUAGAGAGAGGGGUUUUCCAUAUUGCCCAGGCUGGUCUUGAACUCCUGAGCUCAAGUGAUCUGCCUGAGUCAGCCUCCCAAAGUGUGGGGAUUACAGGUGGGAGCCGCAGGGCCCAGCCAAGUUUGCAACUUACUUUGGAUAACAGUCCAUCCCUGAAGUUUGUAAUAAUUAUUUGUCACACAGGUGUCUGCAAAGGAUUGUUCCCGAUGAUACAGACCCAAACCCAUCAAUACCAAAUCUGUCAGUCCUCUCUCCUAGGAGUUUUAGAAUGUUAUGCAAAUGAGAUAUCUUUUGCCUCACCUUAAUAUCCCAGAAUUCUCUAAAGAGCAUGAAGAUUAUACUCUUCAUGGGAUAUAUUUUAUUAUUUUUUAUUAUAGUGAAUUAAAACUCCAAAGAAGCAAUGUCAGUGGUGUCUGUGGUCAGUUUCUAUAAUAUUAAUCUGUUGGUUGAUGUAGCAGUUUUUAGCACAGAGAGAUCUCAUCCCAGAACUCUCGUUAAUAUCAGAUACUCAUCCACAUAAGUACUACGUCCAACAUUAAAAAUUACCUUUGUCAUUUUCUUGGUAAACAAUAAGAGCUAGAUUUGAUGAUAAAGACAUCAUCCAUAUGGUAAUUUGAUAUCUCCAAAAAUCAGGGUAGGCCAUUUAAAUUGCUAAGUUCAAUAAAGCACCAUUAAAGAUAUCUUAUUCCCCUGCUCCCCAACCAAUUCUGCACCCCAGGAAAGGCUUACCAAGAAAGCCUGAAUGCUGUGUCUUGUUUAAGUUUGAAUCAGAUAUGGCUCCAUUUAUUUCUUCAAAAAAUGGUAAGAAUUAAUUAAUAUUAAUCUAUAAUCACAUUGAUGGAAAAAUUAAUGGAAAUUUUAAUAAAAAUGUAACCUUAACAGGAUUUGAAGGUGUCCUUUAGAAUAUAAAGCUAACACUUUAUCCACCAAGCAAUGAAUCCUCUGGUACCAGCUGAUGAAAUUAUAAAAAUUAGCUGCAGGAUUGUUCUUCUUUUGUUCUCUAUGUAUCAAAAGUUUUGAGAAUCAAAAAGAAAAAGACAUUAAAAAUUAAAGUAAAUUUAGAAAUUCAAUAAGCUUACUCAUUAUCUCUAUUUCUUUAGAACAUACAUUUUUGGGGCGAGUUGAUGUGGUUGUUUAUUCAAACAGACUUAAUUUUCUUUCUUAACCUAUCAACACUUUGGUUUGUGUUUUUACACUUAUAGUUUCAUAAAAGACUUGAUAAACUUACAUGAAUAGGUCAACUUUUUAAAAUUAUUCAAGUUGGGAGAAAUAUACAAUGACGAAUAGGUGUUUGGCACAUUAAAUGUUUUUGCUUAAGGAAAAAUGUAUAUAUGCAGAAAAUUAGUGCAAUAUUAAAAUCACAAUUACCAAUGUUAAGCAUGCAUUUUCUGAAAUAUCAAUAGUCUCAUUCCUUUUCUCUGUUUACUAUAUACUAUGUAAUAUUUAGCAAAGCAACUUAUACAUAGUGCUAAGAGCUUAUAGAAAAAUGAAAAUUUGAUCUUUUAAAAUAUUUGUUGAAUGUUUAUAACAUUACAUACUGUGAAAAGUACAGAAUUACAUACACUAUUAUUUUUGUCAUUGUACUUCUUUAGUGCUUAUCAAUAUUUCAAUGCCAGUAUGGGAUGUUGAAAGCUAUUUUUCUUGGCAUUAUGUUAGCCAGAAAUCCUUAUCAGAAGACACUUCUUCAUAGCUAUUCUUCAUAACUAUGGAAUAAUGAUAACUUAGCUUUAUAGUGAUAACCCUAAAGCAAACAAAAUAUCCUGAAAUCCCUUUUGAAUUAUCAAAGAAAAACGAUUAAAUAAUAUGAGAAAAAUAUAGUAAUAAGUAGACUUUUAUUACAUUCUACUAAUUUGAAAAUUGAUAAUUCACAUAUUUAUGGUUACUCUUCGCAAAGCAGAAUUUUUGAUUAACUAAAAUGAUGAGUUCCUGACUACACCUAAUGACAGAAUUGACAGUCUUAGCAUGAUAAUUAGAUCCAGUGGUGGACACUCACAAAGAUGAAGAAGCAGGGAUACUGACUUCUUUUCUGUUUAUUAUUGCAAUUCGAAUCAUGUUUAUAACCAGUGAUGUGGCAAAUAAUCUUGUCCCUUUCUUCCUUCCAACUACUCGAUUUCCUAGAACCAGCCUCUUUAUUCUAAAAGCAUAAGAUGAGAAAAGUAACUUUAAAAAACACAGAUACCAGGAGGGAGCAGCUUUUGUCAUGAAGUAUUCCUUAGUUGAGAUAUUUUCUUUAACACUGGGCAAAAAUGAUCUCAAAGCUGCAGACCUGCAGGAGCCCAUGACCUAAUGGGGACCUGCAGAAGCCAAUUCCCCUCCUUAACAAAAGACUUGAGGCCUUUGUCUUAAAGAUGUCUCCUUAUAUCAAUAUUAUUUAACCCUUAAUAUUUCCCAUCUUAUUUUCUUGCUGACUACAUAAGAUGUAUAAAAUAAUAUUGUAGAUGCAAAAUGCUUACCCACUGUAACUGUGCCAGCAAAUUAAAACAAACAUUCAUUUAUGAGAAAAAUGCAUACCUUGUAUCUGAAAACUAAUAAAAACUGAUAUAUAUAAGGACAAACAAUAA